GUCAGCGUUUGGCUAGGCGCGCGAGUGGCUCGUCUCCUCCCUCGAUUCAGUAUUGCCCUUCCCAAACCUAGCUCCCCUGAUUCAGCUUCCCCUGGAAUAAGGUCCGUUUCCGGCGGCCAGGUCGGCCCUCUCCUUCCACCCUCGCCUCACCCCUCGGUCCCCUCCCCUUCGGCCGCCCUCUCCCUCCCCUGCUGGCCCGCCCAUGCCCAGAAGCCCUCCAACCCUCUGGCGCUCUGCGGUGGCCUCUGCGGCGGCGCGGCUCCGCUAGGUGCCGGUCCGCCUCCGGCCUCCUGGCUCCCCGGCCCAAGUAGACGCCCAGCCCCUCCUGGCUCAUCUCCACGGCUACGCCCUGGACAUUCUGCAUCCAUCUACUGAUCUACAUCUAGUUUAGCAUCCAACAAGUGAUGUAGAUGAAAAAGAAGGGUAUUAGCUUAUUCGAGUUGUGGGACAAAUCUUCAAUGUCAAGAAAGUUAACUUCUACGUCCACGCCAGUUACAUUCGUUGAGAGAGAAUUUUACAAUCAAGUGAAGGAAGAAGAUGUCAUCAAUCUCUUUCAGAAAGACGACCGCAAAGUUAUAUUUUAAGAAGGAUAUCAUCGCUUUAUCAAUCAAAAGGCCUAUUGGGUUGUCUCUCGCAGCAACAGCAGGGCGUAACGUGACGGCUAGUUUUGGACAGGAACGCAGCGACCAAUCGUGUACGUACGUACUAGUACACGACAGUGGCACCGCCUUGUACAAAGCGCGUAGAAAAGGGGGAAAACCAGGCCGAACCGAUGAUGACUCGCGUGCUUGUGCCUCAAUCCUCUCUUCUUUUCUGAUCCUGACUAGUAGAUUUGAUUCUUGCUCCCUUUGACAUCCAUAGCCUGUUACUUUGCACUAUGUGUAAAAAACGCCCCCUAUUUUAAACGCCACAGUAAUAUCUAGUGUCGACCUCUCUUUUUUCCCUUCGAUUUCUCGUUGUAGCCUCUCUCGAAUGUUUACAUUUGGGGGUCUCUGAGCAUGGGAGCCCAGGGAAGCAGUUCCCGGAGGGUUCAAAAUACCAG